rnacentral:pre_miRNA from 1 species
UCUGACACAUUUCAAGCACCAUUAUUAAUUUUGAUGGGGCUGUGAUGACGUCAAUGU